AGAAGAGCUCCUUCCUCAUUAUGUAGAAGAGACAAGCCUUGCAAAGGAUGUAGAGUUGGACAACCUGCCUCCGACGCCUUGCAUUAUUGUGUGUGGACCCUCCUGCUAUGCUGCUGUUCGAUUUAUGCUCAGUGUGGACCGCAAGAUUGUGAAUGAUGACAUCACUACAUUCAUCGCUGCUGUUUGCCUAAUGUUCGGCAGUUAUUACUGUUUCAAUAUACACUACCCUACUGAACUGGCAUCAGUGCUUGAAUUUUUGCAAAGGUGCUUCUUCAUCAUCAAUCCUGAAAAGGGCACAAAGGUUGUGGAAAAGAAGAACAAAAA